AGCGCUGUCUGGUCUGUACUGACGCUGAGCUCGAAAGUAUGGGUAGCAAACAGGAUUAGAUACCUGGUAGUCCAUACCGUAAACGAUGAAUGCUAAGUGUUGGAGGUUUCCCCUUCAGUGCUGCAGCUAACGCAUUAAGCAUUCCGCUGGGGAGUACGGCCGCAAGGCUGAAACUCAAAGGAAUUGACGGGGGCCCGCACAAGCGGUGGAGCAUGUGGUUUAAUUCGAAGCUACGCGAAGAACCUUACCAGGUCUUGACAUACUAUGCAAAUCUAAGAGAUUAGACGUUCCCUUCGGGGACAUGGAUACAGGUGGUGCAUGGUUGCCGUCAGCUCGUGUCGUGAGAUGUUGGGUUAAGUCCCGCAACGAGCGCAACCCUUAUUAUCAGUUGCCAGCAUUAAGUUGGGCACUCUGGUGAGACUGCCGGUGACAAACCGGAGGAAGGUGGGGAUGACGUCAAAUCAUCAUGCCCCUUAUGACCUGGGCUACACACGUGCUACAAUGGAUGGUACAACGAGUUGCGAACUCGCGAGAGUAAGCUAAUCUCUUAAAGCCAUUCUCAGUUCGGAUUGUAGGCUGCAACUCGCCUACAUGAAGUCGGAAUCGCUAGUAAUCGCGGAUCAGCAUGCCGCGGUGAAUACGUUCCCGGGCCUUGUACACACCGCCCGUCACACCAUGAGAGUUUGUAACACCCAAAGUCGGUGGGGUAACCUUUAGGAACCAGCCGCCUAAGGUGGGACAGAUGAUUAGGGUGAAGUCGUAACAAGGUAACCA
rnacentral:rRNA from 1 species